UACGAGAGGCCCAAACGUUAUUCGGAAUUACUGGGCUUAAAGAGUUCGUAGGCGGCAUUGCAAGUAGGGGGUGAAAGCCCUCGGCUCAACCGAGGAAUUGCGCUCUAAACUGCAGUGCUCGAGGAAGCUAGAGGUGAGCAGAACAGAUGGUGGAGCGGUGAAAUGCGUUGAUAUCAUCUGGAAUACCGGAGGCGAAGGCGGCUCACCGGGGCUUUUCUGACGCUGAGGAACGAAAGCCAGGGUAGCGAACGGG
rnacentral:rRNA from 1 species